rnacentral:rRNA from 1 species
UACGAAGGGGGCUAGCGUUGUUCGGAAUCACUGGGCGUAAAGCGCACGUAGGCGGAUCUUUAAGUCAGGGGUGAAAUCCUGGAGCUCAACUCCAGAACUGCCUUUGAUACUGGAGAGCUUGAGUCCGGAAGAGGUGAGUGGAACUCCGAGUGUAGAGGUGAAAUUCGUAGAUAUUCGGAAGAACACCAGUGGCGAAGGCGGCUCACUGGUCCGGUACUGACGCUGAGGUGCGAAAGCGUGGGGAGCAAACAGG